GCAAGGUAAUGGAUUUAUGGCACAUCCUUCUCUGUGGGCCUCUCAUAGUGUACGCAUGCCAGAGAAAAUUGCAGCCCCGAACCAUUGCCCAGUCUCCUUACCUGUGGGCUGUGAGCACUGAAAGGAGUUGUACAGUG
ensembl:snoRNA